CCCCGAGAAACCAUCCGACUCCUUCGAUUCUUCCAUUGAUUCAGUCGAAUCGCACACAGAUUAACCUAUUCCUUCACUAUAUUUCUCUAUUAAUCGAUUCUUAGCUUGUUUAUGGUUGGGUUUUCGAUUGAAUUUCACUGAAGCUUAGAGAGUCCAUUCGUCGAACAACCCAACAUUUUAGACGACAUUUGCAGAUACCUAAGCACUCGUUUGAGUGCUUUCCAGUGUACUUUAGACGGAAGUGCAUAAAUUGUGACAAUUUAUUCAAUGAGAAGCUGAUGUCUAGACAAGUGAACCAUAAGUAUUGGAGUUUUCCAAGAACUUUCCUUUAGCGAGUGGCAUCAGUCGGUUCUGCUCCAUCAUUUAGUUGGAGCACUUCAAUGGCACUCAUCGGGGUUUUAGCUGGCUUCCAGUCCUUCAUGUUUUCUUCAUAGAGGAUUUUAUUGAUGUAAUCAGAUUGUGAUAAUGUAAUCCCAUGUGCAACACGAAGCACCUCAACUCUAAGAAAAAUAUUAAGGUUCCCGAGAUCCUUGAUGGAAAAA